UGGGAGCACAGCCCUAGCAACAAGGACUACCUCCUAGCAACGAGCAUGACACCCAGUGCAUGAAACACCUGACAACGAGCAUGACACCCAGUGCAUGAAACACCUGGCAACGAGCAUGACACCCAGUGCAUGAAACCCCUGACAACGAGAAGUACGAAAGAAAGCCAGCACAGCCAGGACACAAACCACACUGCCAAGAGCUGUGGAUGCUGGCGAUGCAGAUGCAGACAUCAUGCCCCAGGAUCCCCAGCAGGAAACAGACUUGCAGCAAACAUUCACACUCCACCUGCAAGCAAUUAAUAAUAACCAACCAACCACGCCGGCUGACAUAACUCCACCACCCCAAACAUCCCCCACCCCCAAUUGAGCCCAACACCACCCCAGCCACAAAUUGACCAAACGUUUUGGGACAGUUGGGCCACACAACAGGCACAAAACCAUGCAUGUCUGCGUACACACAGCCAAUAUCUGUCCAGUCUGCCCCAUCAUCUACCUAGACUCAGUAGAAACACAGGCAGACUGAAUGUGCAACUUGGCAGAGUGGCCAAUACUAUGGAGCAGAUGAGAGCAGACAACAGCCGACUUAUAGAUAGCUUUCAGCUCAUAAUGGAUGAGCAACACCGCCAUCAACAAGCCCUCUUUCAAAUCAUACAAAACAAUCAGCUAAUCACCGAAAGCCUGUCCCAAAUAAUCAAGCAAGCCUGAACAACCUGAGCCAAAACAUUAAUUUGUUGGCAUCACAGCAACAAGGAUCAAGCUCAGGGACAACCACACCUAGCCAGACCCCAGUUACCUCCCCAGUUCGAACAUCCAGCAGAACACGGUCCAAUGUUCCAUCCCAAACCUCUGUAGCCAGCAAACAACCCCCUAAGAAAUUAGCAACCCUGCAGCUGUAUAUACACUAUUCCCCACCAUAUGACAACAUUAUUGAAUUGUGGGACACACCCAAAAAGUGU